rnacentral:rRNA from 1 species
UACGAAGGGGGCUAGCGUUGCUCGGAAUUACUGGGCGUAAAGGGCGUGCAGGCGGUUUGUUAAGUGCAGGGUGAAAGCUCCCGGCUCAACUGGGAGAGGUCCUUGCAUACUGGCAGACUUGAGGGAGGCAGAGGAAAGUGGAAUUCCCGGUGUAGUGGUGAUAUGCGUAGAUAUCGGGAGGAACACCUGUGGCGAAGGCGGCUUUCUGGGCCUUACCUGACGCUGAGACGCGAAAGCGUGGGGAGCGAACCGG